CAAUGGCUUUCCAGUCUUUUUUCAUCAUUUCGGCCUUGCACCUGAUGCAAAGCCGAAGAUGCUUUUUGGCAUGGGCCACGUUGUCAGCAGUCUCCUUGUCCAAAAUCUCUUUUCCCUUAACAUUCGCCAUGUUAACCUGAAACAUAAACGAACUUCUGUUAAUUACUUUCUUUUCAUUUUCCUGGUCGGCUAAUAUGAGCCGACCCUCGUCUAUUUCUUCUU
rnacentral:lncRNA from 1 species